AUUGAACGCUGGCGGCAUGCUUUACUCAUGCAAGUCGAACGGUAACAGGCCGCAAGGUGCUGACGAGUGGCGAACGGGUGAGUAAUGCAUCGGAACGUGCCCAGUCGUGGGGGAUAACUACUCGAAAGAGUAGCUAAUACCGCAUACGAUCUAUGGAUGAAAGCGGGGGACCGUAAGGCCUCGCGCGAUUGGAGCGGCCGAUGUCAGAUUAGGUAGUUGGUGGGGUAAAGGCUCACCAAGCCAACGAUCUGUAGCUGGUCUGAGAGGACGACCAGCCACACUGGGACUGAGACACGGCCCAGACUCCUACGGGAGGCAGCAGUGGGGAAUUUUGGACAAAGGGCGCAAGCCUGAUCCAGCAAUGCCGCGUGCAGGAAGAAGGCCUUCGGGUUGUAAACUGCUUUUGUACGGAACGAAACGGCUCUGGUUAAUACCCGGGGCUAAUGACGGUACCGUAAGAAUAAGCACCGGCUAACUACGUG
rnacentral:rRNA from 1 species